rnacentral:misc_RNA from 1 species
UACGAACCGGACAAACGUUAUUCGGAAUCAUUGGGCUUAAAGGGUGCGUAGGCGGUGCAGUAAGUCGGGUGUGAAAUCCCCCGGCUCAACCGAGGAACUGCGCCCGAUACUGCUGUGCUGGAGGAAGACAGAGGCGAGCGGAACUGAUGGUGGAGCGGUGAAAUGCGUUGAUAUCCUCAGGAACACCGGUGGCGAAAGCGACCCGCUGGGUCUUUUCUGACGCUGAUGCACGAAAGCUAGGGUAGCGAACUGG